CCAUAUUCUUUAUAGUCAUGUUUGAAGAAAGUUACAAGUAAAUAGAGAAUGUGUGUAGAUACAAUUUUCCUAAUAUAAAAAUUUAUAACUUACCUUUUGCUGAAAUGUACACCAAUAUUUAUGACAACAUACAAUGCAUUUUUUGCAUGAUGCAAAAUUUUGAUAUAUGUAUCAUCAUUAAGCUUAUGUUGACAAUUACAACAUGGUACAUCAAAAGAAGUUUUUAUAGAUUGUGUAGAGAACUAAUGAAGUCAAUCAUGGCCUCAACAGCACAAGAUGAUGUACAUUUGCCAUUUUGCCCCAAUGUCUUCAAAAUUUUGGAGUACUCUCUCUCCAAAUAACCCACCAAAUUGUUCCUGGGAUUGCAUUCCAUAUCCGUGAAUAUAUGUUGUUGUGCGGAAUUUGAGAUAAUACGAGAAAAUAUAAACGCGAAAAACAAGACAACAGAUUUACGUGGUUCACCAAUAAAUUGGCUACGUCCACGGGAAGAGAGGGAGCAGUUUUAUUAUGGAGAGGCAAAAACAGAAUUACAGAAUAGGGUUUCCCAUAGCGUCUAUAUAUAGUGCUAAGCUACGCCCUAACAGGCUUGGGCCCAACAUACAGAAUCAACAGAAAAUUAAGGGCCCAAUACAACAACAUUGUAUACCGUCGGCCCGGGGGCGUCUCCGCCCCCCCGGACCCCAGGCCAGGGGGCGCGUCGCCCCCCUGGACCCCCCGACUCGCUGACCGGGCAGCGAGACCCCCGUCUUUUCUGUUUGUAGCGGGUCCGAUUCAAGGCAUUCAACAUAUGGUCCUCACCCUCUUUGUGCCAACUUUGUACAAGUUUGUAGGUAUUGUCCAUUUAGGUCCAAAAUGUUGAAAAACAUAUCCCACAAUUGUGCAAUAGUGUUGCAAUACAGAAAUAGAUGGGAUGUGUCAUCUGGUUGUUCUUCACAUAGGGAGCAUCUGUUGCAAAUAUAUUGACAUUUUCUUUAGAAAUUAGUCUAGACGCAUUUUUGCCUACUAACAAGUGACAAACUGAACUUUACAAGGAGCAAAACUUUUCCAAGGCCAAACUGAUGUUGCAAAUAAGAAUGUGUAGCAUGAUUUGACUGUAAAAAUGCCAUCUUUCUUGCCGUUCAAACAAAUGGUGUCUUUCUUGUCUGAACUUGUGGAAUGGUUCCUAGUAGUUGAAGUAAGAUGCAAGUCCUCUCUAAUUCUCAGUCAUUUCAAUCCCCCCACCAAUUCCAGCCAUGAUUGGAGUAGUAUCAAUACAGAAGCACUCUGCUUGGCAGCCAGCAUAUAAAGAAGAGGGAAGUCCAACUUUGCGAGAGUGUGUCACAAUCAAGUGUCAUGCCAAAAGCUAAUCUUCUCACCAUCACCAUCUUUGAAGUAUGUUUUGCCUCUGAAUUCAUCCCAGAUUAUUAUGAUACUAAGUUAGGUGCCUUUAUUAUCCUAUUUGGUUUCAAUGACCUUUCUCUUCUUCCUCGUGUGUGAAUCUCCAAAACCAUUGUCUGGUCAGCGCAUCUGUUUGGGUACAGAGGGCCAAUUUAUUCAGGAGAUUGACGUUGUGUAUUUUCACCAAGCCUACCAGAAAUUAUUGCCUUCCAAGACUGAUCUCCACUUGACUAUAGUGAAGGUUUUGUUUUCUCUGUUUCCUUGCCAAAGAUAAUCCAUAUUUCUUGUGGAGUUUUUUCAUCACUGAAGAAGGUGUAAUAAAUAUGGACCAUACGAAGUGAACCCCAUACAUUAUUUUCUAUUAAAACUAAGGUUUCCGCUUGUAGAGAGAGAUUCUCUUCCAACUUGAUAACCUUAUU
rnacentral:lncRNA from 1 species